AGCAGCCGCGGUAAUUCCAGCUCCAAUAGCGUAUAUUAAGGUUGCUGCAGUUAAAAAGCUCGUAGUUGAAUUUCGGGAUCAAUAUGUUGGUCGUGCCUCGGUACGUACUAGCUUAUUGGUUUCUCCCUUCUGACGAACCAUGAUGUCAUUUAUUUGGUGUUAUGAGGAAUCAGGACUGUUACUUUGAAAAAAUUAGAGUGUUUAAAGCAGGCUCACGCUUGAAUACAUUAGCAUGGAAUAAUGAAAUAGGACGUUUGAUUCUAUUUUGUUGGUUUCUAGGAUCGACGUAAUGAUUAAUAGGGAUAGUUGGGGGCAUUAGUAUUCAAUUGUCAGAGGUGAAAUUCUUGGAUUUAUUGAAGACUAACUACUGCGAAAGCAUUUGCCAAGGAUGUUUUCAUUAAUCAAGAACGAAAGUUAGGGGAUCGAAGACGAUCAGAUACCGUCGUAGUCUUAACCAUAAACUAUGCCGACUAGGGAUCGGAUGAUGUUAAUUUUUUAAUGACUC
rnacentral:rRNA from 1 species